GAGUUUGAUCAUGGCUCAGGACGAACGCUGGCGGCGGGCCUAACACAUGCAAGUCGAACGCACUCGACCUUCGGGUCACAUGAGUGAGUGGCGAACGGGUGAGUAACACGUGAGGAACCUGCCCCGAAGACUGGAAUAACCCGAGGAAACUCGGGCUAAUACCGGAUAUCCCCACCAGGUCGCAUGGCCAGGUGAGGAAAUGCUCCGGCGCUUCGGGAGGGUCUCGCGGCCUAUCAGCUAGUCGGUGAGGUAACGGCUCACCAAGGCAUCGACGGGUAGCUGGUCUGAGAGGACGAUCAGCCACACUGGGACUGAGACACGGCCCAGACUCCUACGGGAGGCAGCAGUGGGGAAUCUUGCGCAAUGGGCGAAAGCCUGACGCAGCCACGCCGCGUGAGGGAUGAAGGCUUUCGGGUUGUAAACCUCUUUCAGCAGGGACGAAAAUGACGGUACCUGCAGAAGAAGCUCCGGCCAACUACGUGCCAGCAGCCGCGGUAACACGUAGGGAGCAAGCGUUGUCCGGAUUUAUUGGGCGUAAAGAGCUCGUAGGCGGUUCAGUCAGUCGGGUGUGAAAACUUGAGG
rnacentral:rRNA from 1 species